CUUGUUGUUCGGCUCUAUGUUACUGUAGUCUGCUAGUGUAUUAAAGAUGUAAGGGAUGAAAACUAUGAGAAUUACAAUAAUAACUACCUGAGACAAAGUGAUGUGAACACACAAAAUAGUUGCAACUUCUUCCAUAAAUCAACGCAAUAGGUUUGACAUACAACACAGAGUGCCAGACUACAGUAACAUAGAGCCGAACAACAAGGUGAUU